UUUCUGUCCAAAUAGCGAGUUUUUGUUUAUUUUGUGUCUUUGUUGUUAGCAUUACUUUCUCCUUUGGCUCCAGACAGAGAAGUGUCACUUUGUCGCUUGUAGCUAAACAUAUGUUGCUUUUGGCUAUAUGACUGGCACUCUCAUUUUUCUUGGGAGGAUAGACGUGUAUAUGCUGCACAGGCGUCAUUGAGAAAUAGCUGAGGAUCAGACUUGGUGACGUGGUGUGUUGGAUGAACUUACAAGCAGUGUGGGACCAAAAAUGUUAAUUAGAUGAUAAAAGAAGAGGCAAAGCCUGAAGAACUAGAAACUGGCAAACCUGUGUACUGUUGACCUCUGCACUUGUUCAUUUAGAACAAGGAGACUUUAAUCAUGAUCUACUUCUUAUUUCCUCAUGAGAGGGUUUGUUUCAGACAGUAGUCCAGAAUGAGCCAUGCUGGCAGGGAGAGCUAAUCAGUGCCAAAAGUAUAGCUAUUUUCCUAUCAGGAGGCGACAGACAGGUAAAAAACCCUACAGAGAUGAGUGAGCACAGGCAGAGGUCAACAGAUGGAGCUUGGCAGGGCAGGGGGAACAAGCUGCACCAUUCCUUUCUCAAAGGGAGGCUACCAUAAGUGUCAGCACAAGAAAGUCAGAGUGAGCAAGAGAACAGUCGAUGAAACUGGAAGGACAUCGGAGGGUCGGAGAUUUUCACCAAAUUACAUGAUUUUCUGUGACAGGUGUCAUAGUUUAAAGGCAGGGAGGGUGACAUCGGGUUGCUGGCCGUGUAGCAGAACUGACAAGGCAGAAGCUUCACAUUUAAGAAAACCGGCGUGAGAGAAACAUCUGAAGAAGAAGAAGAAGAAUAUCCAUCUGGCUUUGCAAGCAUUCAGGAUGCCUGAUACUGCUGAAUCUUUGCGCAAUCCAUGCACUUUUGUAAAAUCUUUAUCUUCUUUCAUGCGGUGUCUUCUCUUUCAGCAGCGCUAGCUUGUCUGCUGAACAGCUGGUGGUUGAACUCAAGGAGCUAGGAUGGAGUUUCUCAUAUAAGGGUUAGAGCCCAGCGUCAACAGCAAUGGAAAGUGAUGGGUUAGAAUGAGGUAGACCUAUUCGUCAGUUCAAAUAAUGGUUUUGCCCUAGCAGUCAAGCUGAAUGAUAUGGAGCAGGAAGGGAAUUUGUUGUUGUGAGAGACUGCCAUAAAAACUCUGGAAAACUUAAUAAGCGCUGCUGUAGUCUGGACAGGAUCUAUCGAAAGGUGGUGUCCUUUGAACAAAAAGGUACUUUUCACAUCGCUAAGCAGCGUAUGAGCUAUUCUUGAAAGGUCUUUUGGGUUUUUUUGAUCAUAUAUGUAAGUAAUAACAUUUUGUCUGUCAUUUACAUGUAAAUCCCAGCAGAUCCUGAACAGGCAGCAUGACUUUAAUUGUUCGUUUGCGUCCUUUAAAUAACAAUAGUAGAAUAUGAUAUGAUUAUACCCAACAAUAAGACAAAUGCAGUACAGAGCAAAAGAUUUCGCCAGUAAUACAAAGUAACAUAAAGGAGAAGUUUUAAAAAAAUGAGAAAAUACACAUAGUUGUAAUACAUCACUCCAAGGACAGACCAAUAACAGCAGCAGUACGAACGAGAAUGACAACCAACUGGAGAGAAAUGGGUAAAAAAAGCAGAGGCUUAUGUGAUAAUGGGCAGCAGCUGUAACAGGUGAGACCUGCAUGCACAUGUGGUAUUUACCGGGUCUGUCUAUAAGAGAGCAGAGGGAGAAAACAGGGAGCUAUGAGAGAGGAAGAAGAGAGAGGUGGAGAUGGAGCUACAGUCUUGACACUUGUUAUCUCUGACCUAAUUUAUCAUGUUGCUUCUCUUUAUGUCAGGGAUGGUAGAUAUUUCCACUGCCUGACAACCGGUGAUGUUUCAACAUAUUUGGAUGCUGAGAAUCAGUCUCAGAUCAUAGCAGCUGAGGUGUGCAAAGACAAAUCUGGAGUAUUUUGUUGUGAAACCGACACGCAGUUACACAUUUCAGCAUCUUUAUGGACUCUCUGAAAAUGUUACAAUGUGUUGACAGGAAAACACGACUGAGAAAUCUCCAAUUUCAAGCCACAACAUGUACCACGGUGUUCCACACUCCUCUGUUUGGUCCGCACGUGUGAGCCGGUGUGCAACACGAAAGCUCCGGAGAAAACUUAAUGCUAUCAACCAUGAUUCUGAGGCAGAAAGCUUUAUCAACAUUUCCUCGGGGUAGCAAGGUCAGAUGCAUCUUCACAAUCCAAAAGAUAAAUGGAUCAGAUUUCCACGCCACAUGUAGUUCAGGGCCCAGUCUGCCAGCAGCCACAUAAACGUAAGCUUUCGGCCUUAAACACAGGGUGCUCGGUCUAGUGAGGCUCGUCAAAAAUACAAAAUGUCCCCAAGCUUAAAGAGCAGUUUGAUGUGAUUGAUGGACACCGAACGGCACAUUACAAUAAAUUUACCGGAGUGACCUGCAGACUUUCUCAGGCCUCGCUUGGUUGGAUGAAUGCGAAGUGUUUAUGCUGAGAUUUUAGAAGGAAUGAUUGUGGGAUUCGAUGAAAUUGCCACCUGAAGUAGUUUUGGUUUUGAAGGAGGCGGUAGCGCUCACACAGCGACCACGUGACUUUGCACAAAUACGCACAUUUAAAGUGUGAUUUUUUUAAACGGGAUGUACAGUGUGGCUUCGUUUCCCUUCCUCUGGAUCUAAAAGGAUAUUGGCAAGUGAAUAUCCCUCAUGUGUCUAUAUCCAUUCGACUUGUUUUCAUCGCAACAGGUGUUACCCACAGAUAAAAUGUGGAGGGAGAAUAUGAUUUUCGGUUGAAGGAUAGACGUUUCUUAUCUCAGAUAACCACUUUACUCCUGUCAUAACCUGUCUCUUCCUCUGAGUUCAGCUCUUGUGAUUGCUUGUGUGUGUGUGGGACUUGGCGUUGUUUGACAUGCAUACGCCCGGUUGUGUUGUCAUAUGCAUUUGCUGCAAGACCAGGGUUUACAAAGUGUGGCCCACACUUUGCGUAGUGACAAAGAAAGAUUGCAUAACUGUUCCUUUUUUAUCGUAUGGCAGAUCAUAACGAUUUGUUUAUUCAACUUCAGCUCUUCUUAACUUUAAUGAUUGUAGUAACCGCCUUACUAAUGAUUGGAAAAUAAAAACAUAAAGCAUCAAAAAUAAUUGAAGUUAUAACUAUAAAUCAGACAAAUUACAAACACCAGUUGUAAUUUUCUUUGAAACUUUGAGAACCUCUACAUUAAAAAUGUGCAGAACAAAUGUGAGGUAUAUUCAAUUUUGAUUAAAGAUCAAAUCAAAUUUAUUCCAGACUGAUGUUGGUAAAUUCUGGCAACGCUGUUUGGAGGCUGGCAUUUUUAGCUAUUACUUUGUACCAUCUGUAAUUUGAAAUCUUUCUCUAUGGCAGUUGGUUACUUGAUGCUGUGAUCCGAUAAAUGGAGUCACAUGGGGGCGUGCCGAGGUUACAGCACUACACGUUCUUGAUUAUAGUUAAUUUCCUAAUGACUAAGCUGGUGUCAAAUGUUCAAAUUAUAGACGGUACAAAGCAGCAGCUAAAAAUGUCAGCCCCCAAACAGCGUUGGCAGAUUUUGUUGACAGCUACCAGCUCCACAUACAACCCAAACCCCCUCGAUCACCAUAAAAGUAAGGUCACUUUAAAAAGAACAAACAAAAACAUUUGAAUCCAUGAUUAGAAGAAAUGUUGGAUUACAUAUAUACAUAUUGUUUGUGUUUUACAGUGGCUCAUUAAUGUGUUUUUGAACUCUGUGUGUUUUUUUUAACACAAUCCGUUGCCACCGAUUGUUUGGAUUCACAACUUUUCUGUGAAGAGUGCUCCAAGCCACCGAGACCUGGAAGAGAAAUACGCUUCUGAGAUCUCAAAAUUAAGUGAGGAGCAAAACAGAACAUGAAGACGAAGUAACCUCUCAGCAAGAUAUUCAGAGAGACAUGAUCCUGCAGGCUGGGCUGUUGGUGUUACUCAUAGAAAUGUUGGCACCGGUUGCUCUCUGUUUAUAAAGCUGGCGGGCCCAGAGCAUGGGGUGGAGACUGUGGAGAUCUCCGAUAUUUGGCAAAGUCAACAGCGGUAACAGGAGGAUACUUCAUCAUAGUCACAGUCACUGUCAGGUAGCUGAGACCUUGCCAGCUUUUUCAAUUUCUCCUGGCCUCAUAGCAAUUUGCCAAGUGGCGGAAUAGCAGUUGAAUUGCAAUCUGUGCAUAAUUUUAUUUGUACAACGCAGUGGAGGGAGUGACCUAAAUAGGGCUGAAGGACACCCGCAGAGAAAUAACCAAUAAUACAGUCAGAGGUGCUAUAUUGCAUUGCUGCCACCAGAGAAAUGUCUCCUAGUUGCUUUGAGGAGGUCACCAGAUGGCAUGAAAGUCAGCAGCCUUUACGUCCGACAAACUGGGAGCCUGUUUAGUGAGGACUAUACUUUGUGGUGUGAAAGAGUUUGAAAGUGGACGACCAUACUUUGACUGGAAUGUGUCACUUUUUCUAACAAGGUGUCUAAACGGCACUUCGGUUUAGGUUGGAUCGCUUGAGAAAUUUAUGUGGGAUAUUCAUAAAAAAAAGUCCUACUUUCUUUAAAUGAGUUGACGUUUUAUUUAAAAUACUUUGAUGACAUUAACAAAGUAACAAGGAACAUUUAAAAUUUAAAAAACAGUGAAGCUCACUCACUAGCACCUUCUAUCUCUUUAAUUACAAUAACUGAGUCAGUGAGAUAUCUUUAAACAAAACCAAGCUCGCUGUUUUUUGUCUCUGUAUAUUCAUUAACUUUUCAGAAUUUAGUCUUUGGUUACAAAGCUGGAGACUUUGUUGACUGGCCAUACUGCACAAAAUAGACUCUGCAAGUACCUCUCUGCCAUAGAUACACAUAUUUUAGGUCUGCUUUGUUCAGAGAGAACAGCACAUUCAUUUAACUGCAUGGAAAACUCCUAAACUUUUGAUAAAGCUUUUGUUAAUUAGGAUGUUGCAGUUAUUUUUUAUUGUCAGGCAACUGAAUCAGAGUAUGAGUAUGGUUUUAUAGAGAAAUAAUUUGUAUUAAAACUGUAUGUGAGCACAGAGGGAAAACACAUGCAAAGGAUUGACAGCAGCUGACACUAAGAAGAAUGCAAAUGUGACAAGACGAUGUCACGAAGAGGCUAAUUAGGGGGUGACAACAUUUAGAGACUUUUUAACCUGGCUUUGGCUAGUUUCCAUGGAAAGCAGUUGAAAUGCUGUUUCUUGCAUUGCAAGUAUUUUUACUCAGCCAAAUCACCCAACUAUUGACUAAAACUCCAUAAUUAUAACAGGCAGAAUGCUGCUUUGAGAGUGGUGACAAGCAUUUACAAUGGUGAAGCAUUUCUUUAAAUAUUAUCUACCUAAGAUCUUCAUAUGUGUUAAAUUUACCAUCAUUGAAUGUAUACGUGAAAAAAUUAGUCAUGUCCGAAAGUCAGAAAAUGCCUUUUUUUUGAAUUUGGAUAAAAGAAACACUAUCACUCUUAUGGUUGUCUCUCUCUUUCUAGUCCCUCAAACUGAUGCAACAGUGCCCUCAGUAAUUCAGUCACAGGACAGCCUCAAAUUGCACUGUGUCAAGAUAGGUGCAGUUCACUGAGAGCAUGUCAAACAGCAGUACUGGGCUAAUGGAUUUCCUGUGUGUCCCGGUGGGUUGUUUCACUAUCGACAGGAGAGUGGCUCAAGUCCUGCCAUUCACAAACCUGGGAGCUGAUAACACGGGGAAGGAAAGCAGACAGUGCCACAGUUCACCUGUCACUCCAGCUCCCGUUCCAAACGGCUGCUGUUGAUUUAACUGAUUGGAGACAGGCCCACUUAAACAAAACAGAGUGCGGGCGUCCCACCGAGAGUGUUACAGAGACAAAACACGUUGGUAUAACUGGCCUCCUGUUUACUCUAACAUGGCAGACGUGACCUUUGGUGAGCAUUUCAAAUAACCAGGGGGACCCGACAGAGGCUAAGCCGAGCUUGGGAGACAAAGUUCCUGCUAGUGCUGACAUUACCGGCCAUCUGCUUUAACUGGUCAACUGGGAGACCAGCGCAGAUGCAGAAGUUCACCCCUGCAGGCUGACCAAAGCUCUGUGGUUUGCCCAGGGCAAGCUGUCUCGCUCCUGCCUCUGCAACUCAUCUGUCAUUGGCCAGACCUAAAGCUGCUGGAUCAUUGCCUGAAGACUUUUAAAACUCUCUGGCGAGAGGUCAUACAUUGAAUUAGAAAGCCAGUGGGGGAAAUAUCUUGGUGCUGGAGCAAAAGCAAGUAUUAAACUGCAUUUCUGAGGCAGGAGAGCCUCAAGCGUUGCUACCCUUCUCAGUGUGGGCCUGGUCUGUCAUAUGAAGUUUUAGUUUAUUCCAGGGGAAACACAUUUUAAAAACCAGGACCGAGUUCACUGUUUAGCUGAUGUCUAAAAAUUUUGUAUUGAUUUUGUAGUUUCUCCAAGUUUUUCAUUGACAUUGUGUUCGAUAUAUGCAGUUUUUAAAUCAUGUUGCACUGUAAAAAUGCUCCGCUUCAAGCAAAAGUUAUGCAUUGGAAGUUUUUUAUGUACAGAAUCCUAAUCUAAAGCUCGCCCGAGCUUUAAAAAGCUUUACAUGGAGUUUCAGCUUAAUGUUUUGCUGUCGGUCCUGCAACUUUUCCAUGUUGGUUCACUCUCAUCGCUCCCUUGGUGUUGAUUUUGGACACAGCAGGCAGUCCUUUUUCAGAGAAACAGCUACUGUACCAAACAGCAAACACAAUUAAUGACUAGCGGGUGAAAACACUGGAGCAUUUAGCAGCUAAACAGCCGCACAUUCCCUUAGGACUUGCUAGAGAACAAAGACAAAGCUAAAAUAGAGUGAAUCCUGAGCUCAAAUUAAUGCUCCUUAACUACUGGAUGUGUGAAUAAGGAUUUGCUCGGUAACAAGUUCAUUGUAUAAACUUAAAAGGGGGUAAUAUGUCAUUGUUCUAUGCACAAUAGCCUCAAAUUAUUGCUGAUUUGCAUAACGAAAUAUUUAAACUUAUUAAAAACGAGUCAACAGUUAUACUGUCCACUGUGUGUCAUACGUUCACAUGCUGGAAGUCUUGUAUGAACAUUUUUAAUUAGUGAUUUAUUGCAGAAUAACAAUUUCUGCCUAAUAAGUACCUUUGAGGUACUGUGGAGUCACUGCAUUGUGACAUGGAAAUACUCAUAUACAGUGUUGCACGUGAAAUGCCUACUUAGUGCACUGCUCAUUAGUUAACUUCAACCAAAAGCACGGCAGAAAAUGCACAGCAGAAUAAAAAAAGGUACUCUGGAAAAGUAGCAUGUGACUGAAAUGUGGGAAAGCACACGCCUCCUCUCCCAGCAGCCUCUCUCCACUUCAAGUACUGAAGUGUUUGUCAUUCAGCUUAAUAAGGUGGCCUCAACAGGGAGCACCACACCAGCAACCAUAGGCUGGAGAGGCUGGGGCUGUGGAGGGUUUAUGUUUGAUACAUCAACAGUAGAUGCAUUCGCAUAGGACUGUGGAUCUGUGAGAGUCUGAAAACGGACGGAAAGAGGUACCAGAUUCGAGCGAGUUAUUACGAGUGAAUGUCUUCAGUUUACGAGCGUCUAGCCUAAAUGAAUUAAAGCAUAAAAUAAAUAAAUAAAUAGGCAAAACAAAUUCAAAUUAUGUUUUUACAAUAGUGACAUCAUAGGUUAGACGUCCUGAAAUGCGCAGUGUGGCAAAGAGAGCAACUAAAAUAUGCAUGUGGGACAAAGCCCAUUCUCAACGUCGGCUCUAAUAAAAAAUUAAAAAACAAAACAAAAUCAGGCUUAUUUAAAGAAAACUGCAAGUAUAAAACUGUAGAUAAAACAAAGGACCUUAGAAACAAGAGUGCUUACACUCCUGCAGUCGCUGAAAACAACCCCAUUACAGUGACAGCUUUACAUUUUGUUCUGUUUAAUUAUUCAUCUCAGCCACUGAAUUGUAAACAUGUCUUAAUCAAUCAAAUGACGAUGGCUAGCAAUUCGUAAAUAUAACUACUGUGGGGGUACUAAGGCCAUUAAUUAUUAAAACUACUCCCCUCUUAUUAGUAGGAUAACAGUGAGGAGGUCAGUAGCGUUCUCGGUUCAGUUCCUCAGCUCAGCAAAGUGACCCUGAAGUUCAUCCGCUGUGUUGGAUCGCCUGCAGCAAAACUUUAAACUUCAGAAAUUAAUUUCUCUCACUGAGUUCAAAGCCUCAGUUAGGGCUGUAUAAGACGAAUCCUGUGGGAAGUAUUGUUUUGCAUAAGUUGUUAUCUUCCAGACUGUGGCACUGCUUUCUCAUCUUCUCCUCUCUGUGUUUUUAGGGCUGUGAGAUUGUUUUUGUAAUAUGAUAAUGUUUUGUUUGUCUCAGACUUCAUAUGUGUUGCCCCCUUGCCCACAUCUGACUCAUAAAAAAAAUAAAAUGUUGAACUCAUAAUAGAAUAAAUUAAAGAAUACUGAAAAAAACAGAAAAUCCUUCCCGGUGAUACUCCAGAGUGACUCAGACUGCCAAACUGCACCAAAUGGUCAGUCUAGCAGUGAAACCUGCCAGUUAUUACUUUAAAGCUGCACCAGAAUCUGCACAAACCAUACAGGCUUUGAGAUUCCGACGACUGCAGAGAGGAACGGAAGAUAGCAAAGUGAUGCUGACAGGUCUUCAGAUAGGGGAAUUUAUGACAGUUUAUUUGGCUGUGGAGCCCUCGGUAAAUUAUGUGAACAGCCAAACAUAUGUGAUUAUUAAAUGCCUCAUUCCAAAACUUUGGGAUUCAGUCUGCUGCUAUAACAGCCUUUACCCUUCUAUGAAGGCUUUCCAGGCUGAAGGGAUUUGCUCCAAUUCAGCUGCUAGAGCAUUAGUGAGGUCAGCCAGUGAUGUUGGGUGAUAACGUCUGGCUUGUAGCUCCAGUUCGUCCCAAAGGCCGGUCAAGUUCUUCAACACGGAGUCAGAUGGUCCAAAAUACUACAGUUUUGUCAAUCCAUAAAUUUUCUGACUGAUCCCUAUCCAGGUUUGUAUCACGGGGGCAUCAGUCUAUGCAGAGACAUCCAGACCUAAGACAUUCCCAUACACAGCGACACAUCAAUCUCAUCUAGGAGGCACUCAGAAGGCAUCCUUGUUAGAUUCCUGAACCACCUCAACUGGUUUCUUUCAACGUGGAGGAGUAGUCCAGUAGCAGUCUCCUCAUCCUAUGGCUAAGGGAGAGCCCAGUCACCCUUCAGAGGGAGGUCAUUUCCAUCGCUUGUAUCUGCGUUCUCAUUCUUUUGGUCACUGCCCAGUGCUCGUGGGCAUAGGUGAGGGUACUACGUAGAUCGACCAGUAAAUCGGCAACUUCGCUUUCACACUCAGCUCUCUCUUAUUACCAAAACAGGCGCCGCAGGCACCACACCAAUCCGUCUGUAAAUCUCCUGCUCCCGUCUUUUUUCAUUUGUGGAAAAAGACCCAGAGAUACUUAAACUCCUUCACUUGGUACAGCAGCUCGUCCCUGACCCGGAGUGAGCACAAACAUGAUUUAAACCAAAAUUGCAAAAUGAAGAAAAUAAAUAAAAACAGUUAUUAAAUAGGGCUGCUCCUGUGGACUGGCAGCAUUUGUGGCUUGAUUAAAGCUUGAGAUCAUGUCAGAUGUCAGGAUUAGUCUUGUAUCUUACACUUUGGUGUUUGGUGAGGUUUUGCUCACUAUUGAAAGAGUGACUUUUUCUUCAAAUUACAGUCAAUUUUAUGCAACAUCACAUUUAGAUUUUCUUAAGGUAACACUACAUUUGUCAAUUAUUGAUUUAAAAAUAAAUAAUUUACAAUAUGUUUUAAAAAAAAAGAAAAAGAAAAAAAGAUUUCACAGCAUUCCUAACAGUCCUGUCAUACUUUAAUAGCUUGAAGAACCACCUUUGGCUUCAUUUCUUUUAUGUUGGUUGCUGUUUAUUUCUGCACAGCUCUCCGAAGGUCUUACCACAGACUUUUAAUCACUCUGAGGUCUGGACUGUUGACCAUUAGAACACCACAACUCUUUUUCAGCUAUUCUGUAGAUUUGCAUGCUGUGUUGUACUGUAUGACGCAAUUUUGGCCAAAGUUUAGCUGUCAGACAUUUGACUCUAGAGUCCUUUGAUAUGCUCAGUGACUGCAAGUUGUCCAGGUCCUCUGGCUGCAAAACAAGCCCAAGUCACCAGCCCUCCACCACCGUGUUUGACAGUUGGUGUGAGGUGUUUCUGCUGAUAUGCUAGUUUCUCUGUGCAUUAUGGCCAGGCAUCUCCACAUCUGUCGCAUCUGCCCAAAGUACAUUAUUCCAGAUGUGGCUGGCCAACCCUUCCAAACAAGUGCAGUUUCUCUUACCUGGGACGUCCACUGCUGGGACCAUUGUGGUAUUGUGUUAACACACCUGAAUGCUCCAGAACAGCAAACUGCCCUAAACUUUGGCUUAUAUAGAGGUUAUCACACUUGCUGAUGAAUUUGUUUAGCUGCUACUUAUCCCUCUUAAUUCCUGUGAAAGUAUUAAAGGUAUUCUGCAUAGAGGCAUGUGGAAACGUUGUUUUCACAUGAAUGUUAAUGUGUUGAAUUAUAUACUUGUCAGUAGAUACAUUUUACAUCAUUACAUAAUAGGUUUGUUCUAAUAUAAUAAUGUUCUUAAUAAAAUGUCCUGAAAGAAAAUCAUAAUAAAAAAAAAUCUUUCAAUUAUCUUUUUUACCAUCAAAAAGUAAUAAGUCUGCUAAUAAUAGACUUCUGGGCUCAAGGCAGAAGUUGACUGGCAUGACUGGCUUAA